GUGAAAUAACCUGGGACUUGACGUCCCAAACCAUCUCACAUCCACACACCUUUGUGCACUGUUGAAUGGGCCUAAUAAAUAUAUAUAUUUUUGGGCCUAUUCUAUUUUAUUAUAAACAUCUUAUGUAUGUAAGGAAAGUGUUAUCGAAAGAAAUAAAUAAUAAUAA
rnacentral:misc_RNA from 1 species